UACGGAGGGUGCAAGCGUUGUUCGGAAUCACUGGGCGUAAAGGGUGCGUAGGCGGGUCUUUAAGUCAGGGGUGAAAUCCUGGAGCUCAACUCCAGAACUGCCUUUGAUACUGAAGAUCUUGAGUUCGGGAGAGGUGAGUGGAACUGCGAGUGUAGAGGUGAAAUUCGUAGAUAUUCGCAAGAACACCAGUGGCGAAGGCGGCUCACUGGCCCGGUACUGACGCUGAGGUGCGAAAGCGUGGGGAGCAAACAGG
rnacentral:rRNA from 1 species